GAUUAACGCUGGCGGCGUGCAUAACACAUGCAAGUCGAACGAUGAAACUCAUUAGAUUUCUUCGGAAUGAAAAUGAAUGGAUUAGUGGCGAACGGGUGAGUAACGCGUGAGUAACCUGCCUUACACAAGGGGAUAGCCUCUGGAAACGGAGAAUAAUACCCUAUGAAACCAGACAAUCGCAUGAUAAUCUGGUCAAAAUGUUUAGUGGUGUAAGAUGGACUUGCGUCUGAUUAGCUAGUUGGUGAGAUAAAAGCUCACCAAGGCAACGAUCAGUAGCCGGCUUGAGAGAGUGUACGGCCACAUUGGGACUGAGACACGGCCCAGACUCCUACGGGAGGCAGCAGUGGGGAAUUUUGCACAAUGGGGGAAACCCUGAUGCAGCGACGCCGCGUGAUUUAGAAGGCCUUCGAGUUGUAAAAAUCUUUUGUAUAGGAAGAAAAUGACAGUACUAUACGAAUAAGGUCCGGCUAAUUACGUG
rnacentral:rRNA from 1 species